rnacentral:lncRNA from 1 species
ACUUGACACCGGUGUUUUAAUACACAUGGUACGAUUAGGAGAUUCAGAGAGAAUGGACUAGAUUGUGUGUGGGGAGUCAACAAAGGUGCUUAAAAUGGAAUUGUCACCAUUUCUUUUUAUGAUAUGAUGCCAAAAAAUGACACAGAAACGGGGAGGGAAUCUGUCAGUGUCGCUGAAGGAAAAGUCAAAGGGCAGAAUUCCAAAGGACAGGGAGCGGUCGAAUGACCUUUCUUGGUUUCUAUGCUGGAUUUUGUGUCACUGUUAUUCCUCAGGAAAUGUCACCAGAGCCGUUGUUGGAACAGGGUGUGUCAUCUGCUGGGAGUUUGACGUCAGGAUCCUGAGGCACGCAAGACCACCGAAUCUCCCUUGCAGUCAGCUCAGGACAACUGUGGCCAAAGGGAGCUCAUCACGGCCUCUGACCUAUUGCUACACUUUCUCUUCCCCUUCCACAAUGACUUCAAAAGCUCCUUGGUUAAGGCGACAGUCGCAAAAUGGAAGGGGCCAGGUCCUCAAGUCCUGCUUGUUGAGAAGAAACACCCCCAACCGCACACACCUAGCAUCAAAGCAUAAAAAUAAUUGUAAGGCCACCAAGAAUGGAGGGGAGGUGGCAUCAGAAUCUGGAGUCUAACACUUUGACUAACACCAGCCAUAACCCUUGGCCAACCCAAUUCCCAUCAUCACUGGCACAGCUGUUACUGGCAUGGUUACUGUUAGUACAGUAGCUGUUCAAAUAGCCUCAGUGGUAGUGUUAUGAGGUAAAGACCCAAAGACCACUCAGCCUGACCAAAGUUCAAGUUGAGAAUCUUUAUUGAGCAGGCUGGUGACUGCCUGGAGAGAAACACUUCCCACAGAGCAUGCCCAAAUGCAUUCUACGGGGAGCUUUUAAAGACAAAGAGCACGGGAAAGCUACACCCUGCUUGGCAGUUGCAGGGGGGAGCAAGCAAGCAGUUUCACAGGAGACAAGAAUGUGCGGUUAAUGAUAGGUAGG